UACGAAGGGGGCUAGCGUUGCUCGGAAUCACUGGGCGUAAAGGGUGCGUAGGCGGGUCUUUAAGUCAGGGGUGAAAUCCUGGAGCUCAACUCCAGAACUGCCUUUGAUACUGAGGAUCUUGAGUUCGGGAGAGGUGGAGUGGAACUGCGAGUGUAGAGGUGAAAUUCGUAGAUAUUCGCAAAGAACACCAGUGGCGAAGGCGGCUCACUGGCCCGAUACUGACGGCUGAGGCACGAAAGCGUGGG
rnacentral:rRNA from 1 species